GGCCGGAUAAGGCGUUCACGCCGCAUCCGGCAUUCAGUGCCUGAUGCUACGCUAACGCGUCUUAUCAGACC
rnacentral:ncRNA from 1 species